GCAAGUUCACAGAAGUCAAGAAUUGAAGUUUGAGAACCUCUUCCCAGAUUUCAGAAGAUGUAUGGAAAUGCCUGGAAGUCCAGGCAGAAGUUUGCAGAACAGGUGAGAUCCUCAUGGAGAACCUCUGCUAAGGCAAUGCAGAAGGGAAAUAUGGGGUGGAAGCUCCACACAGAGUCUCUACUGGGGCACUGCCUAGUGGAGCUGUGAGAAGAGGGCCACCGUCCUCCAGAUCAAAGAAUUAUAGAUUAACUGACAGCUUAUACCGUGUGCCUGCAAAAGCUCCAGACACUCAGCACCAGACCAUGAAAGCAACCAGGAGGGAGGCUGUACCCUGCAAAGCCACAGGGACGGAGCUGCCCAAGACCAUGGGAACCCACGUUUUGCAUCAGCAUGAUCUGGAUGUGAGACAUGGAGUCAAAGGAGAUCGUUUUGGAGCUUUAAGAUUUGACGGCCCCACUGGAUUUUGGACUUGCAUGGGGCCUGUAACCCCUUUGUUUUGGCCAAUUUCUUCCAUUUGGAAGGGCUGUAUUUACCCAAUACCUGUAUCUCCCUUGUAUCUAGGAAGUAACUACUUGAUUUUGAUUAUAUAGGCUCACAGGCAGAAAGGACUUGCCUUGUCUCAGAUGAGACACUAGACUGUGGACUUUUGAGUUAAUGCUGAAAUGAGUUAAGAAUUUGGGUGACUGUUAAGAAGGCAUGAUUGGUUUUGAAAUGUGAUUACACAAGAUUUAGGAGGGGCCAGGGGCAGAAUGAUAUGGUUUGGCUGUGUCCCCACCCAAAUGUCAUUUUGUAUUGUGACUCCCACAAUUCCCAGGCAUUGUGGGAGGAACCCAGUGGGAGGUGAUUAAAUUACAGGGGCGGGUCUUUCCUGUGCUGUCCUCCUGAUAGUAAAUGAGUCAUGAGAUCCAAUGGUUUUAAAAAUGGGAAUCUCCCUGCACAAGCUUCUUUUGUCUGCUGCCUUGUGAGACAUGCCUUUCACCUUCCACCAUGAUUGUGAGCCUUCCCCAGCCACGUGAAACUGGUAUGGACAUGAUGCCUGGAGGAACAACUGACAUAUUUCAACUGUGAGAAUGAAAAUCAUGCAAUAGAGAUGUGGAACAGAAAGCUAGAAGAAUAAUUCACUCAACAAAUAAAACUUUUUACUAUUUUAAGCCA